CAUCAGCUCAAAUUUGAAAUCUGGCUCUUUUAGGGUCCGAGUUGUAAUUUGCAGAGGGCGCUUUGGCAUAGAUUCAAGUUCCUUGGAACAGGACGUCACAGAGGGUGAGAAUCCCGUACGUGGUCGCUAGCUCUUGCCGUGUAAAGCCCCUUCGACGAGUCGAGUUGUUUGGGAAUGCAGCUCUAAAUGGGAGGUAAAUUUCUUCUAAAGCUAAAUAUUGGCCAGAGACCGAUAGCGCACAAGUAGAGUGAUCGAAAGAUGAAAAGUACUUUGGAAAGAGAGUCAAAAAGCACGUGAAAUUGUUGAAAGGGAAGCGCUUGCAGCCAGACUUGCCUGUAGUUGCUCAUCCGGGCUCUUGCCCGGUGCACUCUUCUGUAGGCAGGCCAGCAUCAGUUUGGGCGGUUGGAUAAAGGUCUCUGUCAUGUACCUCUCUUCGGGGAGGCCUUAUAGGGGAGACGACAUACAACCAGCCUGGACUGAGGUCCGCGCAUUCGUGCUAGGAUGCUGGCGUAAUGGCUGUAAGCGGCCCGUCUUGAAACACGGACCAAGGAGUCUAACAUCUAUGCGAGUGUUUGGGUGUCAAGCCCGAGCGCGUAAUGAAAGUGAACGGAGGUGGGAACCCUUUUGGGUGCACCAUCGACCGAUCCUGAUGUCUUCGGAAGGAUUUGAGUAAGAGCAUGGCUGUUGGGACCCGAAAGAUGGUGAACUAUGCUUGAAUAGGGUGAAGCCAGAGGAAACUCUGGUGGAGGCUSGCAGCGGUUCUGACGUGCAAAUCGAUCGUCAAAUUUGGGCAUAGGGGCGAAA
rnacentral:rRNA from 1 species